rnacentral:piRNA from 1 species
UNGAAGGUGUUCCAAUGUAUCUUCUUUUGCC